GAAGGCAAAAUGAUGAAAAAUUUCUUAUCCUACACGCUAAACUAAAUGUAGACUACAUCUUUGCUUAUUAUUUGAUGCCUUC